rnacentral:rRNA from 1 species
AGGUCCUGCCUGCCCAGUGAUAAUUUAAAUGGCCGCGGUAUUUUGACCGUGCAAAGGUAGCGCAAUCACUUGUCUUUUAAAUAGAGACCUGUAUGAAUGGCAAAACGAGGGCUUAACUGUCUCCCUUUUCUAGUCAAUGAAAUUGAUCUGCCCGUGCAGAAGCGGGCACACUUAUACAAGACGAGAAGACCCUUUGGAGCUUAAGAUUUAAGAUCACCCAUGUCAAGAAUAAAAUAAAUUAAACUAUAUGGUACCUGAUCCUCAUCUUCGGUUGGGGCGACCGCGGGGAAAAAUAAAUCCCCCACGUAGACUGGAACAUAAUCUAUAACCAAGAAAGACAUUUCUAAGUAUCAGAACAUCUGACUAUUAAGAUCCGGACAUACCGAUCAACGAAACAAGUUACCCUAGGGAUAACAGCGCAAUCCCCUUUCAGAGUCCAUAUCGACAAGGGGGUUUACGACCUCGAUGUUGGAUCAGGACAUCCUAAUGGUGUAGCCGCUAUUAAGGGUUCGUUUGUUCAACGAUUAAAGUCCUACGUGAUCU